rnacentral:ncRNA from 2 species
AAUAAAAAGGGAUACUUUGAUGAGUACUGUUUAUGUGGGCACUUUCAGUACUCGGAGUAUAUAGUGCAACCGACCCUGCUUAAU